rnacentral:rRNA from 1 species
GACAGAGGGCGCGAGCGUUGUUCGGAAUCAUUGGGCGUAAAGCGCGCGCAGGCGGACGUGCAAGUCGGGAGUGAAAUACCGGGGCUCAACUCCGGGGCGGCUCCCGAAACUGCGGGUCUAGGGACCGGUAGAGGCCGGUGGAAUUCCCGGUGUAGCGGUGGAAUGCGUAGAGAUCGGGAAGAACACCCGUGGCGAAGGCGGCCGGCUGGGCCGGAUCCGACGCUGAGGCGCGAAAGCGUGGGGAGCAAAC